UCUGCCAUCAGGUCUGGGACAACCACUGGAAACGGUGGCUAAUACCGGAUGUGCCCUUCGGGGUGAAAGGUUAACUGCCUGUUGAUGAGCUCGCGUCUGAUUAGCUAGUUGGUGUGGUAAGAGCGCACCAAGGCGACGAUCAGUAGCUGGUCUGAGAGGACGAUCAGCCACACUGGGACUGAGACACGGCCCAGACUCCUACGGGAGGCAGCAGUGGGGAAUUUUCCGCAAUGGGCGAAAGCCUGACGGAGCAAUACCGCGUGAGGGAGGAAGGCUCUUGGGUCGUAAACCUCUUUUCUCAGGGAAGAACACAAUGACGGUACCUGAGGAAUAAGCAUCGGCUAACUCCGUGCCAGCAGCCGCGGUAAUACGGAGGAUGCAAGCGUUAUCCGGAAUGAUUGGGCGUAAAGCGUCCGCAGGUGGCUAUGUAAGUCUGCUGUUAAAGAGUCUAGCUCAACUAGAUAAGAGCAGUGGAAACUACAAGGCUAGAGUGCGUUCGGGGCAGAGGGAAUUCCUGGUGUAGCGGUGAAAUGCGUAGAGAUCAGGAAGAACACCGGUGGCGAAGGCGCUCUGCUAGGCCGCAACUGACACUGAG
rnacentral:rRNA from 1 species